rnacentral:rRNA from 1 species
UAUUACCGCGGCUGCUGGCACGGAGUUAGCCGAUGCUGAUUCCUCAGGUACCUUCACUUUCUUAUUCCCUGAGAAAAGAGGUUUACAACCCAAGAGCCUUCCUCCCUCACGCGGUAUUGCUCCGUCAGGCUUUCGCCCAUUGCGGAAAAUUCCCCACUGCUGCCUCCCGUAGGAGUCUGGGCCGUGUCUCAGUCCCAGUGUGGCUGGUCAUCCUCUCAGACCAGCUACUGAUCGUCGCCUAGGUGCGCUCUUACCACACCUACUAGCUAAUCAGACGCGAGCUCAUCAAAAGGCGAUUAAUCUUUCACCCACAGGCACAUCCGGUAUUAGCAGUCGUUUCCAACUGUUGUCCCGAACCUUUUGCCAGAUUCUCACGCGUUACUCACCCGUCCGCCACUAAGUUCCGAAGAACUCCGUUCGACUUGCAUGUGUUAAGCAUACCGCCAGCGUUCAUCCUGAGCCAGGAUCAAACUCU